rnacentral:misc_RNA from 1 species
AACAUUGUGUUGUCAACAUUGUGGAUUGUGUUAACCUAUAUUGUUGUUUUCAUCUCAUAUUGUAUCGCAAUUUGUGUCGAAAAGUCCGGAAUAUUUUCUUUAAACCAUUACCAUCACAGUGUCGUGGUAAAUACAUAUUCAGGCGCGGAUCCAGGUCAAGCGUCUGAGGAGAAGGGGUUGUGGACAUUUUUUGUGCGUGUAUUCCUGUUAAAACGGAUGAAGGAUAAGGCUGAGGGUAUGAGUAGUAUGAUUCGUUUUCUUUUCUCAAUUUUAAAACGAAAUUUAGAUGGACAUUAGAAUCCUACACGCAGCAGUUAGAUGAAAGAAGCAAUAUGUACAUAUUUAUGUAUCUUUCUGUAUUCUAGUAUACACAUU